CUGCUGCCUUCCGUAGGAGUUUGGGCCGUGUCUCAGUCCCAAUGUGGCCGUCCACCCUCUCAGGCCGGCUACUGAUCGUCGCCUUGGUGGGCCGUUACCCCGCCAACAAGCUAAUCAGACGCGGGUCCAUCUUACACCACUAAUGUUUUUCACUCUGUCCCAUGCGGGACUGUGCGCUUAUGCGGUAUUAGCACCUAUUUCUAAGUGUUAUCCCCCUGUGUAAGGCAGGUUACCCACGCGUUACUCACCCGUCCGCCACUAAG
rnacentral:rRNA from 1 species